UGUCCUAAAUUUCUAUUCCACGCUCUCCUUUUUCCUAUUCUUUCUACUUUCCAGAACUCAUGCUCUCUCCCUCACACGUUCCUCUACUCCUUCACAAGAAGAACGACGCGAACCCAAUAAUUCCAACGAGUCCUAGCCGUGGUUUAUCCAACUUUUGGCGAGGAACAUCAAUUUCAUAUAGCUGUCCCGUUCGUCCUUUCUUAUCCAGCGAGGAGUAAGAAUUCAAACAAUGACUCGUCCUUCUUAUUUCUUGUCAAUUCUUUUUCUCUCGAUUUUACCCUCUCUAGUACCAUUCGAGGUUUCCAAGCACUUUCUAAAAGAAUUUCGAAUUCACAGUAGUCCCACAUCAAAAAUCUUUCCAAAUUUCGUGAGAUUUUAGGUCCUAUAAAUAGGCCUUCUCUUCACUGUUCAAAGGGAGUUUUUUGGGAGGCGAGAAAAGGAACACCCAGCUAAGUGUUUUAGGAGUUCUUAUUUUUCGUCACUGAAAUUUUGUUGAUUUGCGGCUAUUUUGAGUGGGAGUGGUGUUGGAAUUCGUCACGUUCAAACUUGUUGUCCGGUUCGCUUCCCAAAAUCAGGUGAUCUUCCCUCCCUUUUUUUAUUCAGUUAUGUUAUUUCUUCUUUAGUUGAUUGGUAGUGAUGAUUUUUUUUGGCAGAGGCUAUAAAUUUGUAUUUGUCUUGCUGUGUUAUAAUAACAUGCUUAUGUUCAUUUUUUUGUUCUGUUUCUUGUUUCUUUAAUUCUCUCAUCAUGUUUAAAUUUUGUUUAGCUUCCCUGAGAUAGUUUUUCUCUAGCUAUUAAUAUGCAUAUGAGUUCAAUAACUUUUUAUUUUAUCUUGGACUACUUCGUAUAGGUCCUUCAUGUUGAUUUUGGGUGAUCUUUUAGUUUUAGUUUUGUUGUUCCAUGGGUAGAGUAAGUUUAUUUUCAUGUGCGUGCCUCUAGUUGUUGUUCCUGAUUAAGUUGGAAUAGCUAUGUAAAAUAGGUCCGCAACUAUUCCGUAGUCAAAUCUUCAUGUCCAUUUGAUUUGUUGUCUGUUAUCUCUCUAUUUUAGCUGAGUUUUUGAACCUGGAGUGUAUGCUCUUUAGUCUGUUAACUGUUUUAUCUUCACAUGCCUUUUUUAAUUCAUGCUGUACAACUGAUGGUUUCCUUCCUUCUCGUUGCCCUCUUUAAAUGCAUAUGAUUAAGAAUAUAAGUCGUUUACUCCUCUACAUCAAAAUGUUUCGUCUUAAAAUGCUAUGUUGAACUUGGUGGUUCUUAAAUUGCUCAUCAAUUGUAUUGCUGAAGUUUGUCUCUGUUUUGCCAAAACUGAUUAUUUUUAGUAUGUCUGUCUUGUCGGAAAUUGAAUAUUGAUAGAAAUAUGGAUUGAUUUUCUUUCAAGUUUUCUUCAGUUGUAUUCCUUUAAAUUUUGGCUGUUGACAACCAUUAAUUUCUAUUCCUUGAAGUUAAUCACUGUUGCUAAUAUAUUAUAGUUAAAGUUGAGUUGUGAUUAAUGGAAACAAUUAUGUGAUCAAGCUAGUCCUAUCUUUCUGUAGCUCCAUAUGUAUUGUUUUGACUUCCUGAACUAAACUCCUAAUAUUGGAUUGAAUUAUAUCACUUGCUUGUCAUUAAGUCAUUGGUUUUCGCUUAAUUGUUUUGCUAAUCUUUGUUUCCACCAUUUUUCUGUGUAUGAACCUUCUUGUUCGAGUCUAAUGGGACUCCCAUCCUUGCAUUCGUUUCUCUUUGAGUCAACCUCCUUUAAGCCGAUUGAAAGGAAGCUAAUAUUAUUGGAUUAAACACCAAGAAGACAGCACCAACAGUAGCCUAAAGGGCUAAAAGAGUAGCAUUUUCUUGGAGUUGAAAGUUAGAAAAUGGCACCAGCUGAAGCAGAGUUGCAACCGCCUCAAAAAGCUGAAAAACGAGGAGCAAAAUUGGGUUAAAACCCAUAAUUAAUGAGGCAAAGUUGCAGCAGCCUUAAAGUGCUGAAUUUAGCAUUUUCUUCGACUUAAAAGGUCGGAAAAUAGCGCCAGAAGCAGCAGAACAAGGAGCAGAUUAAGGAUGAAUCCUCACCAGAGUUAUCAAUGUUAUUUCUUAAAUCAUA